rnacentral:rRNA from 1 species
AGAGUGUUUUCAUUAAUCAAGAACGAAAGUCAGAGGUUCGAAGGCGAUUAGAUACCGCCCUAGUUCUGACCGUAAACGAUGCCAACUAUCAAUCCGCCAGUGGCUUUCAGUUAUUGGCGGGCGGAUCGACGGAAACGAAAGUUUUUCGGUUCCGGGGGAAGUAUGGUUGCAAAGCUGAAACUUAAAGGAAUUGACGGAAGGGCACCACCAGGAGUGGAGCUUGCGGCUUAAUUUGACUCAACACGGGAAACCUCACCCGGCCAGUACAUCAUAAGGAUUGACAGAUUGAAAGCUCUUUCAUGAUUUGAUGAAUGGUGGUGCAUGGCCGUUCUUAGUUCGUGGCGUGAGUCGUCUGCUUAAUUGCGAUAACGAGCGAGACUUCGACUGCUAAAUACUGCCGCGAUCUCUUCGAGUUGCGCGCAGUUCUUAGCUGGAUUUGUGACUUAAAGUCUCAAGAAAAGAAGCAAUAACAGGUCUGUGAUGCCCUUAGAUGUUCGGGGCCGCACGCGUGCUACAAUGGUGGUAACAGCGUGAUUGUCCUCGCCCGACAGGGCUUGGCAAACAGUUGAGAUAUUAUUAUGGCUGGAAUUGAGUGUUGAAAUUUUCUCUCAUGAACGAGGAAUUCCAAGUAAAUGCGCGUCAUCAACGUGCAUUGAUUACGUCCCUGCCCUUUGUACACACCGCCCGUCGCUACCCGGGACUGAGUUGUUUCGAGAAAUCUACGGACGCGACCAGCAA